rnacentral:rRNA from 1 species
CGGAGGGUGCAAGCGUUAUCCGGAUUCACUGGGUUUAAAGGGUGCGUAGGUGGGUCUGUAAGUCAGUGGUGAAAUCUCCGGGCUUUAACCCGGAAACUGCCAUUGAUACUAUAGGUCUUGAAUUUUCUGGAGGUCAGCGGAAUAUGUCAUGUAGCGGUGAAAUGCUUAGAUAUGACAUAGAACACCGAUUGCGAAGGCAGCUGACUACAGGAACAUUGACACUGAGGCACGAAAGCGUGGGGAUCAAACAGGAUUAGAUACCCUGGUAGUCCACGCCCUAAACUAUGGAUACUCGACAUUUGAGAUACACAAUAAGUGUCUGAGCGAAAGCAUUAAGUAUCCCACCUGGGAAGUACGACCGCAAGGUUG